GGUUAAUUGUUGCGCGCGCUCACGACCGGCCAGGAAGAACGACGCUGCUACAGGAUCCUUCUGCACACGUUUAUUCAGUCCUAUUUCUUCUUGUUUAUAUCUCGCUUGUUUAUAUCUCUCUUGUUUUUAUAUCUCCCUUGUUUAUAUCUCCCUUGUUUAUAUCUCCCCCGAACCCUGGGCCUCUCACUCCUUUUAUACUCUCAGUUCCCAUCCACGCACAGCAGGCCACGCCGCCUCACCAGGCACGCAGCUUCAGCUAAUCAGGGCAGCAGGGGCAUAUCUCCAUCAAACUGGAUUCACCUUAAAUUAUAGCUUCCUCCAAUGUCUCAGAGCAGAGGUUGGCAGUUAUCGCUGAAAUCCUAGGCUUGACUUGAUUUAGUCCAUGAACUUUUGAAGAUACAGUCCUGCUGCAAAGAUAGUGUAUUCCCCAGCUCUUUCCCAGAAAAUGAUAAAACUUUCUCUGGCUGACACAAGUGCAGUUAUUGUCAGACGUUUUCUAGAAGAUCCUCAGAAGUAUCAAGCAGAAAACCAAGGCUCAAUAUCCCUGCAAGGUGUUUAAAUUUUUCCACCUAUGGCGAGGUACCAUGCUUAGGGUGUCCAUGUAUUAGGAUUCGGCAGAGCCUGGGUAAAGCUGGAGUACCCUUGAGAUAAAAGGUGGAGGAAUCUAUUGGCUGUCCUGGGCCUUCCAUGAAAGAGGCUUCAUAUUGAGAAGAAAGAAUGAGUUGGGAUUUGAUUUGGCAGAAAAGCAUAAUUCAACAGAGGGAAGAUUGGCUUUUUCAGUUUGCAUGAUGCCAUUCUCCUUAAUUUUAUGAGUCCAAUACAAGCAGGUAUUAAAAAAAUGA
rnacentral:lncRNA from 1 species